rnacentral:rRNA from 1 species
CAGCCGUAAACUAUGCGCGUUAGGUGUACUGGUGACCACGAGUCACCGGGGUGCCGAAGGGAAACCGUGAAACGUGCCGCCUGGGAAGUACGGUCGCAAGGCUGAAACUUAAAGGAAUUGGCGGGGGAGCACCACAACAGGUGGAGCCUGCGGUUUAAUUGGACUCAACGCCGGACAUCUCACCGGAUAAGACAGCUGAAUGAUUGCCGGGCUGAAGACUCUGCAUGACUAGCUGAGAGGAGGUGCAUGGCGUCAGUGACU